rnacentral:rRNA from 1 species
AGAGUUUGAUCAUGGCUCAGGAUGAACGCUGGCGGCGUGCCUAACACAUGCAAGUCGAACGAAGCAAUUAAAAUGAAGUUUUCGGAUGGAUUUUUAAUUGACUGAGUGGCGGACGGGUGAGUAACGCGUGGAUAACCUGCCUCACACUGGGGGAUAACAGUUAGAAAUGACUGCUAAUACCGCAUAAGCGCACAGAACCGCAUGGUUCCGUGUGAAAAACUCCGGUGGUAUAAGAUGGACCCGCGUUGGAUUAGCUAGUUGGCAGGGCAGCGGCCUACCAAGGCGACGAUCCAUAGCCGGCCUGAGAGGGUGAACGGCCACAUUGGGACUGAGACACGGCCCAG